GACGAACGCUGGCGGCGUGCUUAACACAUGCAAGUCGAACGGUGAAGCGCCUUCCUUUUUGGUUGGUGUGGAUGAGUGGCGAACGGGUGAGUAACACGUGAGUAACCUGCCCCCUUCUUCUGGAUAACCGCAUGAAAGUGUGGCUAAUACGGGAUAUUCUGGUUCUGUCGCAUGAUGGGUCUGGGAAAGAUAUUGUUUCGGUGGGGGAUGGGCUCGCGGCCUAUCAGCUUGUUGGUGGGGUGAUGGCCUACCAAGGCGGUGACGGGUAGCCGGCCUGAGAGGGUGGACGGUCACACUGGGACUGAGACACGGCCCAGACUCCGACGGGAGGCAGCAGUGGGGAAUAGUGCACAAUGGGCGCAAGCCUGAUGCAGCGACGCCGCGGGAGGGAUGGAGGCCUUCGGGUUGUGAACCUCUUUCGCCAGUGAAGCAGGCCUGCCUCGUUUGUGGGUGGGUUGACGGUAGCUGGAUAAGAAGCGCCGGCUAACUACGUG
rnacentral:rRNA from 1 species